AAAACAUAGCAGACAGUGUGUGUAAUAUUAAUCACUCGCACAGGUUUGUUUAAUGUUAAUACACUUAAUAUUUACUUUUGAUGUCAGCUCUGUAGCUCAUUUCUAAUUACACUAACAAUUUUCUCCGUUUAGCACUAGUUAUUCCCAUAUAACUUAUAUCUUCAUUUAGAUACAGUCUUCAAUAUAUCAGGCCUGUGUCUUCAUCUGUGAACUGUAACAAUAACUUACUUUCACUUUCAACAUCACUCAGAUUUAACUUAGUGCUGUUUUCUCUUUCUCAUUUGAGGUUUAAACAGCAGAAACUGAUCGAGAUGGUCACUUGUAGGCGAAGGGAAUGAUGUUUUAUCGUCUUCAUGUGCUUGUGUUGUUGUUUUUACAGGUUUGGACACAGAGCGAGGAGCUAAAAUUACACAGAAAACACUCGACAACAAACUACUGCAAUAUAACUUUACACCAGCGGAACUCACCUGAAUGUCGUUAUAUGUCCACAGACUCAGUUUCUUAAAUACAUAACUUCCAUCAGUCGAAGAAGCGACGUGCUGAUCUUUGAAGCUGAAAUAUUUUAGAGAAAAAGAAAAGGGCUGAAGCAGGACUCUCUGUGUACACUCCCUUCCUGGGUUGCCAGGUCUGCGAAACCAAAAUGUCCCUAUGGGCAAAUCCUCGACCAAAAGUAGCCCAAUCACCACAUCCCAAAUAUAAAACCUUAAAAAAGUGCAAUUCCUAUUCCUAAAAUACAUAUUUUACAGUCAUUGUUAUGCAAACUGAAAAAACACAGUCUCGUAGCGAUCAUAAAC
ensembl:lncRNA